CCAAAUUCUGGCGCCAAAUCGGAAACUGCACGAGUCCUGCCAGAAUCUGUAUCUGAAUCGACUGUACUGGAAAAUUCCGUAGCAGAAAGAUGGCGACGUACACAAGUCACGUGAACAUCACACUCGGGGCGCCUGCGCAGAACCAAACUGACGGCAGUGACGUUGCAGAGGACGAUGAUGACGUCAUCUUUUUGGAAGCAGUGGACAACACCAAGCAGAUGGAGGGGGUUUCUACUCCAGAAGAGCUGCCUGUAAAAGACACGGAACCCAAGUGUGAUCAUCCUGGGAACAACCAGAAAAGAAGACCAGGU